rnacentral:siRNA from 1 species
ACAAAAAGCUAGGGUUUGCUCUGU